GUUGAACGCUGGCGGCAUGCCUUACACAUGCAAGUCGAACGGCAGCAUGAUCUAGCUUGCUAGAUUGAUGGCGAGUGGCGAACGGGUGAGUAAUACAUCGGAACGUGCCCUGUAGUGGGGGAUAACUAGUCGAAAGAUUAGCUAAUACCGCAUACGACCUGAGGGUGAAAGUGGGGGACCGCAAGGCCUCAUGCUAUAGGAGCGGCCGAUGUCUGAUUAGCUAGUUGGUGAGGUAAAGGCUCACCAAGGCGACGAUCAGUAGCUGGUCUGAGAGGACGAUCAGCCACACUGGGACUGAGACGCGGCCCAGACUCCUACGGGAGGCAGCAGUGGGGAAUUUUGGACAAUGGGGGCAACCCUGAUCCAGCAAUGCCGCGUGUGUGAAGAAGGCCUUCGGGUUGUAAAGCACCUUUGUCCGGAAAGAAAUCGCACUUACUAAUAUUAGGUGUGGAUGACGGUACCGGAAGAAUAAGGACCGGCUAACUACGUGCCAGCCGCCGCCGUAACAC
rnacentral:rRNA from 1 species